AGCCGAAAGGUUGGCUAAUACCGCAUACGCCCUACGGGGGAAAGCAGGGGAUCUUCGGACCUUGCGUUAAUGGAGCGGCCGAUAUCUGAUUAGCUAGUUGGUGAGGUAAAGGCUCACCAAGGCGACGAUCAGUAGCUGGUCUGAGAGGACGACCAGCCACACUGGAACUGAGACACGGUCCAGACUCCUACGGGAGGCAGCAGUGGGGAAUUUUGGACAAUGGGCGCAAGCCUGAUCCAGCCAUUCCGCGUGAGUGAAGAAGGCCUUCGGGUUGUAAAGCUCUUUCGCAAGGGAAGAAAACUUACCUUCUAAUAAAGGGUGAGGUUGACGGUACCUUGAUAAGAAGCACCGGCUAACUACGUGCCAGCAGCCGCGGUAAUACGUAGGGUGCGAGCGUUAAUCGGAAUUACUGGGCGUAAAGCGUGCGCAGGCUGUUUUGUAAGUCAGAUGUGAAAUCCCCGAGCUCAACUUGGGAACUGCGUUUGAAACUACAAGACUAGAAUAUGUCAGAGGGGGGUAGAAUUCCACGUGUAGCAGUGAAAUGCGUAGAGAUGUGGAGGAAUACCAAUGGCGAAGGCAGCCCCCUGGGAUAAUAUUGACGCUCAUGCACGAAAGCGUGGGGAGCAAACAGGAUUAGAUACCCUGGUAGUCCACGCCCUAAACGAUGUCUACUAGUUGUUGGUGGAGUAAAAUCCAUGAGUAACGCAGCUAACGCGUGAAGUAGACC
rnacentral:rRNA from 1 species